UAGAUAUAUGUGCUAGCUGUAAGACAUGGAAUAACAUCCGUUUGUAUAUAUUUGUUUUUCUUCAUUGCUCCUUUUAAAAAUGUCUUCAGGCUUUGAAAGUACAGUGGCCUGUGAUUGUGUUAGUUAUAUGUUAUAACUUGAAUAGAGUUUUGAUAUUAACAUCACCUACAUAUCUGAUAGGGCUACGCAUUAUUUUAUGUAAAAAAGUUUGGAAGUAUUGAGAUUUUCUACCAUUAAAACAUUAGCAACUACUAUUCUCAGUAUUCCAAUUAUUUCCAUAUCUAAUUUUUUAAAGUUAUUCUCAUAGUUUGAUAUUUGAUGCUUUUUCAUGUCAUGAUCCCGGAUUUUCUGUUUCCCAUUCAUUUUUAAUGCAUUGGAGUACUUUAAAAUAUAAAUAGCUAUUGGAAAUCUUUGUUUUUAAGACUGCAAAAAUGCCUGGAUUUUAUGCAAAUGGUGAGUAUGAUCUUAGUGGAUUUGCUGUGGGUGUUGUGAAGAAUGAUUCAGUUAUUGAUGGGAAGAAUAUUGAGGCUGGAGAUGUGCUCAUUGGUCUCCCGUCCAGUUGAGUACACUCCAAUGGUUUUUCUCUUGUGAGAAGGCUAGUUCACAAUUUUGUCUUAUAAAGCAUAAUUAGCGAUGAGUUAGAAGACUUGAGAUACAAUUCAGCCAAAAUGCCUAAUCAGAUGAAAGCAAUUAGUUUAUACACCGACCUUUGUACACAUGUUGUAGGGUUUUGGCACAAAGCAAUUGCUCUUUGACAGACAAAAUUCAUGGUGAAACAGCUACCUUGGGUGAAGCCUUUAUGGCCCCAACAGUCAUCUAUGUUAAACAAGUGGUUUUAGUUGUUCCAUUUGUCAAGCAUGUAACUACAUCAUUAGGGCUUGAUGGAUGAGGAUCUGCAUAUCUUAAAUUAUAUUAAUGCUCUUUGGUUGUGAAGGUGCUUGAUGUGAUCAGUGCUUGAUGUGAUCAGCAAAGGAAGAGUCAAAGGGAUAUCCCAUGUAACUGGUGGUGGGCUAGAGUUUUCCCCAAGGGUCUUGGUGCUGUCAUGUAAUGAGAGCAUUUUAUGAUGCGAAGACCCAUGUCUUGCUCCGAUCCCCCCCUCUUUCACUCCUCACUCCGGCAAGCCUAUGCUGUAGAAGUGGCCAGGGUUUGAGCACAUGGUCUACACUUAUGCGGUAAAAGUGGUUGUAAUUCUUAACUGAAGAGUUAAACUUCAUUGGGCCCACAGACAAGCCCAUGUUGGAGGAGAGAGUGACCACAUACAAGGUUGGCAGGGUUCCAUCCUAAAACCAAUUGGUGAUAGGUGGAGUAACCCACCAAUCUAUAUGUUAGUCAUUCUCUCUCUAAUUCUUCAAUGUGGGACAAUUAUUUCUAACUCACAUGUGGGCUUUACUCUUAACACUCCCCCUGCAUUUCAUAACGGGCCAAGAUCGUCCGCUCUGAUACCAUGUUAAAGUUCAUUGGGCCCACAGACAAGCCCAUGUUGGAGGAGAGAGUGACCACAUACAAGGUUGGCAGGGUUCCAUCCUAAAACCAAUUGGUGAUAGGUGGAGUAACCCACCAAUCUAUAUGUUAGUCAUUCUCUCUCUAAUUCUUCAAUGUGGGACAAUUAUUUCUAACUCACAUGUGGGCUUUACUCUUAACAGUUCUGUCAAAUCCUAGUCAAAGUAAUCAAUUUUGUAGCUUGGCUUCAUGGGAUGUGUCGUACUUGUUCUCACUCUCUUGUAUCUUGUUAAGAUUGACAAUCUGGUAUGCGUCAAGUAUAUUUGAAGAGCACACAAGUGUUUUUAAACUAGUAAAUGGAUGAGUGACCUGAGGUGCUCGAACUGGUUGUUAGUCCACCAAGUCUGCCUGGAAUUUGACCUGUUUGCUUUGUUCUUGACCACAUGCAGGUGGAAUCUUGUCAUGGGAUGUAUCUACUGACAUUUCUUGCAAUAACAAGAGUCCAUAAUUGACCCUAUCAAUGGCAGAGUAGACCAACGAGCCAGGAUGCUGCAAGGGAGCUCUAUUUCUCCUACUCACUUGUUCCAAUAAAUUUUGCUCACUGCUGAACUUGCAGAAACACUUUCAAGUUUCAACUGACCUGCAAAAGGAAGGACUUUAUGGUCGAACUCUGACACUAACUAAAAACUGCAUGUUUUGAGGUGAUUUUUGAUGUCUGCAUUUCUUUAUUCUUGGUCCCUCCACAACAUCAGACGUCCACUAGAAUCAUGCUGAUGCAUUUGUGCAAGUGAUCAUAUGCAUAAAUGUAUUAGACAGGCGCUAAAAAUUUAAGAAGCUAUAGCACUUAUUUGCUGAAAAAAAACUUGAAAAGCUUCCUAUAUUCUGCUAAAGCUCUUUGAUGUCAAAACUCAAAAUUGAUUUUGUUGUGUGGAUAUUCGGUCUGACAAUAAUCGAAUGCUAUACUGCCUUCAAUGUUUUGGUUUGACUUCAAUCAAUCUUAGCUACUCUUAGCUCUCAACAUUAAACAUUGAGCUCUUGAUUUACUUAGUUGUGGUUUUCCAGGUGUAUGUUGGUCCCCCUUUCGCUAUAUAAUUAAUCUGAACUACGUCCGAAAAGGUCCAUAAUCCGUCCAGUCUUGGGGUGCAUCUUGGUAUUCGAGCCAAAAAAUCGCCGGGGGUAGGAUCUGCCGAUAUUAAGCCUAAAACAGUCUAAUUACUCAUAUUAGUACUAUUAAUAGUGUCAAAAUUAGGAUGCGUUGCU